rnacentral:rRNA from 1 species
UACGUAGGGGGCAAGCGUUGUCCGGAAUCAUUGGGCGUAAAGAGCGUGUAGGCGGCCAGAAAAGUCCGCUGUGAAAACUCGAGGCUCAACUUCGAGCUGUCGGUGGAAACUUUCUGGCUAGAGUCCGGAAGAGGAGAAUGGAAUUCCUGGUGUAGCGGUGAAAUGCGCAGAUAUCGGGAAGAACACCUAUGGCGAAGGCAGCUCUCUGGGCAUUACCUGACGCUGAGGAGCGAAAGUGUGGGGAGCGAACAGG